rnacentral:misc_RNA from 1 species
UACUUUUCAGAUAAUACAAAUAAAGUGCAGUCCUUUUGGGGACUGGCGAAUCGAAAACGGCGUUCAGCGCUUGUACGAUCACGUUCCAUCUUUUAAUCGCCAGCGAUGUCCCCACACACGAGAUUCAGUAGACUCGAGGGCGACUAUAUUGUGGUAAUGUGGAGGAGGGGACAGAGCCGGUCGCCGUAGUACUAUUAGUUUCGUUCUCCACAUUUGUAGGGGAAGAUUUCAAAAAUGAAUCUCCUUAAUAUGGACGCGGAGAACCGCGUCGUUCUCAAUGUGGGAGGCAUUCGCCACGAGACGUACAAGGCAACGCUGAAGAAGAUCCCCGCGACGCGCCUGUCCAGGCUGACGGAGGCGCUCGCCAACUACGACCCGGUGCUCAACGAGUACUUCUUCGACCGGCACCCUGGCGUGUUCGCGCAGGUCCUCAACUACUACAGAACGGGCAAGCUCCAUUACCCAACAGACGUCUGCGGACCUCUGUUCGAGGAGGAGCUUGAGUUCUGGGGUCUGGACGCCAACCAGGUGGAACCGUGCUGCUGGAUGACCUACACGCAGCAUCGAGACACCCAAGAGACCCUGGCAGUUCUGGACCGGCUCGAUUUGGACACCGAGAAGCCUUCAGAUGAAGAAGUAGCCAGAAAAUUCGGGUUCGAAGAAGACUACUACAAAGGAACUGUGUCCUGGUGGCAACAACUGAAACCUCAGAUGUGGUCGUUGUUCGAUGAGCCCUACAGUUCUAAUGCAGCUAAGAUAAUCGGGGUGAUAUCAGUGUUUUUCAUAUGUGUAUCUAUAAUAUCGUUUUGCUUAAAAACUCAUCCAGACAUGAGAGUGCCAGUGAUUAGAAACUAUACAGUGACAACAGCAAACCAAACGCAGAGUUGGGCGUUGGACAAAGUGCAAACAAACGCCCAUAUCGCGUUUUUCUACAUUGAAUGUGUGUGUAACGCGUGGUUCACAUUGGAGAUCUUAGUGAGAUUCAUAUCAUCGCCAAAUAAGUGCGAAUUCAUUAAGUCUUCAGUCAACAUCAUCGAUUACAUAGCCACAAUGAGCUUUUACAUCGAUUUAAUACUCCAAAAAUAUGCGUCUCACGUAGAGAAUGCGGACAUCUUGGAGUUCUUUUCCAUCAUUAGGAUAAUGAGGCUUUUCAAGCUAACAAGACAUUCGUCUGGUCUCAAGAUUCUCAUACAGACGUUCAGGGCCUCAGCCAAGGAACUGACUCUUCUGGUGUUUUUCUUAGUGCUCGGUAUAGUAAUAUUUGCCAGUUUGGUAUAUUAUGCUGAGAGGAUACAAACAAAUCCUCACAAUGACUUUAACAGCAUACCAUUAGGGCUGUGGUGGGCGCUGGUUACCAUGACAACUGUAGGUUAUGGUGAUAUGGCGCCGAAGACUUAUGUAGGGAUGUUUGUUGGAGCGCUCUGUGCUUUAGCUGGUGUACUAACGAUAGCUCUGCCGGUACCCGUUAUAGUGUCCAACUUCGCAAUGUAUUAUUCACAUACGCAAGCCAGAGCGAAAUUACCAAAGAAGAGACGAAGAGUUAUCAAUGUAGAACCGGCUAGGCCACCGAUGCAUGGUGAUCGUAGCGAGCUUGAAGCUAUGAUCCAAACAACACCAAACAACUGCAAAAGAAAAAAUUUAAACAUGCUUUAGAAAGCAAACACAGUACUGGCGUCGUUGGGUCUCCGAACGGGCUUUCUAUAUCGCCUGCACACACGGACUUAGCUUACAGGAAUGCUACCAAAUCUUUAGUCAUCACUAACCAAUCAUCGAUAUCAUUGUAUUCAUCAUCAUCAUUGCACAAACUGGCAAUAUCUUCAGGCAGCACUACGGAGACACGUUUAGGUCCCAUUGCUUCGGCGAGAGCAGAAGUUGCAACCUUGAUGCCAGGGAUGGAUUUGUCAGUAACUACCCGUCUCUCUCCAAACCCUCGCGAUAUGAGUCCAGCCCUAGCUAUAGCGUUACCAAUGAUGAAAUCUGUGAACAUAGUACCAGCUCAAUGUUUUGA